rnacentral:rRNA from 1 species
ACGGGAGCAGCAGUGGGGAAUUUUGCGCAAUGGGGGAAACCCUGACGCAGCAACGCCGCGUGCGGGACGGAGGCCUUCGGGCUGUAAACCGCUUUCAGCAGGGAAGACAACGACGGUACCUGCAGAAGAAGCUCCGGCUAACUACGUGCCAGCAGCCGCGGUAAUACGUAGGGGGCGAGCGUUAUCCGGAUUCAUUGGGCGUAAAGCGCGCGUAGGCGGCUGCCUAAGCGGAGUUUCUAACCUUGGGGCUCAACCUCAAGCCGGACUCCGAACUGGGCGGCUCGAGUGCGGUAGGGGCAGGCGGAAUUCCACGUGUAGCGGUGAAAUGCGCAGAUAUGUGGAGGAACACCGAUGGCGAAGGCAGCCUGCUGGGCCGACACUGACGCUGAGGCGCGAAAGCCGGGGGAGCGAACAGGAUUAGAUACCCUGGUA